AUGUACAUUUCACAUCUUUGGAUAUUUUUUGGUGCUUUGGUGUCUUCAAAUGCUCUGGACGACUGGAAUGCAAGAUGUAUCAAUUUCACCAUCAACGCCUCUCUGAAAUCUGAAGUCUAUAUCCCAUGUCACUUUGAUAUAAACCAUUACAAUGGAACAUUGACAGUGAAUUGGCGCCGCCAUUCCACUAUUGAGAGUCUUGUAACGAUCAUGACUGAUGGCAAAAUCAUCUUUGGUAGUCCUAGUGAAGGACGAGUGAAUGUUUUUCCCCUUCUGUCUAAACAUGGAAACUUCUCUAUCCUCAUCCAUGAUCUGCAGUCUUCAGACAUUGGCACCUACAUAUGUGAGCUGAACAGUGAAUGCUGGAGGGUGAAAAUCAUUGAACAGUACAGAAUCAGUGAGUCAAACCCCUGGCUCUACUUUGCAGCUGGAGCUGGAUUGUUUAUUCUCCUUUUUAUUGCAUUUAGCCUGUUAUCAAAAUUCUGUGGAAAGUGUGUAGAUACAUCAUCCAAAUCAAAUCCAGUUAAUGGAGUACGGAGUGAAGGUAGUAAUUCCCCCGAAGAAACACAGAAUACAGAAAGCAGUGAGCAUAGAAACAAAAACAAGAGGGGUGUGAGGAGGGGCCCUACAACUGUUUAUGAAAAUGACAUACAUGCUCCAAAUCAAAGUUCUGCUGUGCAGCCGGGGCAACAUCCUCAAAGAGCCUUUAGAGCCGUUCCCGAGCCAACAAGAAGUCAUCCUUCGGAUGCAAAACCAUACUAUGUCAACCAGGCGGAGCUCUUCAUUCCAGUAAAUGCUGGCAAAAAACGGAAAAAACAAAAACAAAAUGUGUAUAAAAAUCCAAUAUAUGGAGACUGAAGUGAGACAGUGACAACAGAGUAAUACAUGUUUCAAUCAGCAUAACAAAAUUGUUCAUUAUAAACAGUUCAAUAUCUCAAUAAAUUCUGAUGUUUAAUGAUUCA
ensembl:lncRNA